UACGAAGGGGGCUAGCGUUGUUCGGAAUUACUGGGCGUAAAGCGCACGCAGGCGGCUCGAUAAAUUAGAAGUGAAGGCCCCGGGCUUAACCUGGGAAUUGCUUUUAAGACUGUCGGGCUAGAAUCCAGAAGAGGGUAGUGGAAUUCCGAGUGUAGAGGUGAAAUUCGUAGAUAUUCGGAAGAACACCAGUGGCGAAGGCGACUACCUGGUCUGGCAUUGACGCUCAUGUGCGAAAGCGUGGGGAGCAAACAGG
rnacentral:rRNA from 1 species